GAGGGUAUAGCUCAGUGGUAGAGCAUGUGCCUAGCAUGCAUGAGGUUCUGGGUUUGAUCCCCAGUAUCUCCG
rnacentral:tRNA from 1 species